AUCAUAACUAUCAUUAUUGUGUAGAGUUACUAAAUAAAAAUAACAGUUGUCUGUAUCACUGUAGUAAUACAAGAGCCUGAUAUACCUCAGAUGGGAGAGGAGAGGGGAUGUGGCCACCCGGGAAGCACUUUUUAGCAUGCUGUGUGUCAUUUGAGAGGAAUCUGUAGUAAACAUGGUUUCAUCCAGCUCUGAGGACUAUUCCAGCCUCAUCUGGAAGCUGGCUGAUUAAGAAGCUUGAAUCAGCACUCCGUCAAAAGAGGUUAUGCCUUUUUCUGUACCUGUGGCCCCCAGAAAGAGCAUCCAGCAUACUCGCAUUCAGUAAGAAACAUAUCAUCUGUGAUUCUUUCAGAUUUGUUCAUUUAAUUGACUGUAUAAAUGUGUGCUGUCUCUAUUAGAAACCCUACUCUUUCCGUGUUUCCUAUUUUAAGAUGAAUUGAGAAAAAAAUCUAUAAACCUUGACUCACAUUUUACAAAGGAAGCAAAUGCACUCCUCCCUAAAUGCUAAAUGAAUGGCCUUUUAAGGUGACUGCUGAAUUAAAUUCCUGACUGAUGAAAUCAACUGGCAUGAGAAGGUUCUUAUUUCCGAAAAAGAAAAAAAGCUGCAGGGAAAAAAAAAAAACCCUCAAUAGUGUGAUUGCAGAGUUGAGAACUAAAUAGGACCUUUUUACAGUGACUCAGUAAAGAUACUUUACUCAGCUUUGGUAGUAAUGCAGCUUCACAGGCUGAAGGGAAAUGGCAAUAUACAUAUUCUGAUCCUGAUAAGCUUUGCUGGUUAGACAUGUGCAUUUAGUUCAAGUCCUG
rnacentral:lncRNA from 1 species